rnacentral:rRNA from 1 species
AGAUUGAACGCUGGCGGCAGGCCUAACACAUGCAAGUCGAGCGGUAGAGAGGUGCUCGCACCUCUUGAGAGCGGCGGACGGGUGAGUAAUGCCUAGGAAUCUGCCUAGUGGUGGGGGAUAACGUUCGGAAACGGACGCUAAUACCGCAUACGUCCUACGGGAGAAAGCGGGGGACCUUCGGGCCUCGCGCCAUUAGAUGAGCCUAGGUCGGAUUAGCUAGUUGGUGAGGUAAUGGCUCACCAAGGCGACGAUCCGUAACUGGUCUGAGAGGAUGAUCAGUCACACUGGAACUGAGACACGGUCCAGACUCCUACGGGAGCAGCAGUGGGAAUAUUGGACAAUGGGCGAAAGCCUGAUCCAGCCAUCGCCGCGUGUGUGAAGGAAGGUCUUCGGAUUGAAAGCUAACUUUAAGGUGGAGGAAGGCUAAGUUACCUAAUACGUAUUCUUGUUUAGACGUUACGACAAGUAAUAAGCACCGGACUAACGUCUAGUGCCAGCA